UACGUAGGGUGCGAGCGUUAAUCGGAAUUACUGGGCGUAAAGCGUGCGCAGGCGGCGCGUUAAGACAGGUGUGAAAGCCCCGAGCUUAACUUGGGAAUUGCGCUUGUGACUGGCGUGCUGGAGUGUGGCAGAGGGAGGUGGAAUUCCACGUGUAGCAGUGAAAUGCGUAGAGAUGUGGAGGAGCACCGAUGGCGAAGGCAGCCUCCUGGGCCAGCACUGACGCUCAUGCACGAAAGCGAGGGGAGCAAACAGG
rnacentral:rRNA from 1 species